rnacentral:rRNA from 1 species
UACGAAGGGGGCUAGCGUUGCUCGGAAUCACUGGGCGUAAAGGGUGCGUAGGCGGGUCUUUAAGUCAGGGGUGAAAUCCUGGAGCUCAACUCCAGAACUGCCUUUGAUACUGAGGAUCUUGAGUUCGGGAGAGGUGAGUGGAACUGCGAGUGUAGAGGUGAAAUUCGUAGAUAUCAGGAGGAACACCGGUGGCGAAGGCGGCUUUCUGGACAGACACCGACGCUGAGGCACGAAAGCUAGGGGAGCAAACAGG